rnacentral:rRNA from 1 species
UACGUAGGGCGCGAGCGUUGUCCGGAAUUAUUGGGCGUAAAGAGCUCGUAGGCGGCCUGUUGCGUCCGCUGUGAAAUCCCAGGGCUCAACCCUGGGCGUGCAGUGGAUACGGGCAGGCUGGAGGCAGGCAGGGGAGAACGGAAUUCCCGGUGUAGCGGUGAAAUGCGUAGAUAUGCGGAGGAACACCGAUGGCGAAGGCGAUCCCCUGGGCCUGCACUGACGCUCAUGCACGAAAGCGUGGGGAGCAAACAGG